rnacentral:lncRNA from 1 species
UUUGAGCUGAAUUCUAUGUAGGAAUACAAGGCCAAGUUGUUGAAAAGCCACACAAAGAGACAAAGUGCUGUGUUUACUCGCAGCUGCUUUAUUCGUCUGAUGGUUGAAUGCAUGAUGCACAGAUGAAAGUUGUGAGACGAAUGAAACAAAACUGGCACACUACAGUCAACUGACAGAUAUUCACUGCAAGCGAUAUAGCUACCACUCAGAAUUUGAUGUGUGCUGUAGUGUAAAAAUAACGGUAACCCAUUGACUUCAUAAAUCAUUAAAGCCUACCCAAUAACAAAACCGGAAGGUCACCAUGUUUAUGUUUACCACUCCAUGGCUUUGCUGAGAAACAAAUCACGCCCAUCAAUACUAAACUCUUGACCAUGUGCAGUUCACGUGCUCAUUUAUAUAGCCCUACAUUGACUGCAGUGUGCCCAUUUUAUUCCACAUGCAUUUGGAAGUUCUCUUUGUGUAUGUCAAUAUGUUUGCCCAUCAGAGAAAUGAAGCAGU